UACGGAAGGCAGCAGUGGGGAAUAUUGCACAAUGGGCGAAAGCCUGAUGCAGCUAUGCCGCGUGUAUGAAGAAGGCCUUAGGGUUGUAAAGUACUUUCAGCAGGGAGGAAAGAAUAAAACUAAUAAUUUUAUUUUGUGACGUUACCCGAAGAAGAAGCACCGGCUAACUCCGUGCCAGCAGCCGCGGUAAUACGGAGGGUGCAAGCGUUAAUCAGAAUUACUGGGCGUAAAGAGCGCGUAGGUGGUUUUUUUAAGUCAAAUGUGAAAUCCCUAGGCUUAACCUAGGAACUGCAUUUUGAAACUGAAAAACUAGAGUAUCGUAGAGGGAGGUAGAAUUCUAGGUGUAGCGGUGAAAUGCGUAGAUAUCUGGAGGAAUACCUGUGGCGAAAGCGGCCUCCUAAACGAAUACUGACACUGAGGUGCGAAAGCGUGGGGAGCAAACAGGGAUUAGAUACC
rnacentral:rRNA from 1 species